CCGGGCGCGAUGGGCUGAAGGACGGUCCCGCUGCUCCGAGGGAUGGAGCCUCCCCUCCCCUGCCCUGCCCUGCCGCUGCCGCAGCUGCUGUAUUUAAGAACACAGAGAGCUGCUUUAUGUGGGAUGGAAGAAAACAAAGCUGUUAACUCCACUGAGCAAACCAAGAAGGGGAAAAGAAUCAACUUCUCCCCCCCAACCCCACCCCAUAGAUCACCAGGGAAGGAUGCUCCUUCCUUGGACUGCUCUGGAUUGAGGUGAAGCUGCUCCCAGCUCCUGGAGGAACAAGGGAUUACCCUGGCAGCUCUGCAGUUCCUCCAGAGUUGUGAGAGACGGUUUAAGAGAGUCUCUGAGACUUGUCUGAACUUCUCCUCCCCCCUGGACAAUGGAGUGGGGAUUGUACUGCACAUGUGCCUCUGAUUACAAUGUAUUACCACUAAUGAUCAUUUGCUUGGAUCAUACUUAUCUGUUUCUUUGGCUAAUAAACUUAGCAAAG